GAUGAACGCUAGCGGCAGGCCUAAUACAUGCAAGUCGAACGGUGUCUUCGGACAUAGUGGCGCACGGGUGCGUAACACGUAUGCAACCUACCUUACAUUGGGGGAUAGCCUUUCGAAAGGGAGAUUAAUACCGCAUAAGACAGUAGCUGGGCAUCCAGCAGCUGUUAAAGAUUUAUCGAUGUAAGCUGGGCAUGCGUCCAAUUAGCUAGUUGGUGAGGUAACGGCUCACCAAGGCAAUGAUUGGUAGGGGAACUGAGAGGUCAAUCCCCCACACGGGCACUGAGAUACGGGCCAGACUCCUACGGGAGGCAGCAGUAGGGAAUAUUGGGCGAUGGACGCAAGGCUGACCCAGCCAUGCCGCGUGCAGGAUGAAGGCGUUAUGCGUUGUAAACUGCUUUUAUACAGGAAGAAACGACUCUUGCGAGAGGCAUUGACGGUACUGUAUGAAUAAGCACCGGCUAACUCCGUGCCAGCCGCCGCGGUAACAC
rnacentral:rRNA from 1 species